rnacentral:rRNA from 1 species
CGUAGGCGGUUUUGUAAGUCAGGUGUGAAAUCCCGGGGCUCAACCCCGGAAGUGCAUUUGAUACUGCAAGACUUGAGUAUGGGAGGGGGAAGUGGAAUUCCUGGUGUAGAGGUGAAAUUCGUAGAUAUCAGGAGGAACACCAGUGGCGAAGGCGACUUCCUGGACCAAUACUGACGCUGAUGCGCGAAGGCGUGGGGAGCAAACA